UACGGGGGGGGCAAGCGUUGUUCGGAAUCACUGGGCUUAAAGGGCGCGUAGGCGGGCUCGCCAGUCAGGGGUGAAAGCCUCCAGCUCAACUGGAGAAGUGCCUUUGAUACUGCGAGUCUCGAGGGAGGUAGGGGCGUGCGGAACUUCCGGUGGAGCGGUGAAAUGCGUAGAUAUCGGAAGGAACACCGGUGGCGAAAGCGGCGCGCUGGACCUCUUCUGACGCUGAGGCGCGAAAGCCAGGGGAGCAAACGGG
rnacentral:rRNA from 1 species